AUGAGUUUUGAUCAUGGCUCAGGAUGAACGCUAGCGGGAGGCCUAACACAUGCAAGCCGAGCGGUAGAUUACUUUCGGGUAAUUGAGAGCGGCGUACGGGUGCGGAACACGUGUGCAACCUGCCUUUAUCAGGGGGAUAGCCUUUCGAAAGGAAGAUUAAUACCCCAUAAUAUAUUAUUCGGCAUCGGGUGAUAUUGAAAACUACGGUGGAUAGAGAUGGGCACGCGCAAGAUUAGCUAGUUGGUGAGGUAACGGCUCACCAAGGCGACGAUCUUUAGGGGGCCUGAGAGGGUGAUCCCCCACACUGGUACUGAGACACGGACCAGACUCCUACGGGAGGCAGCAGUGAGGAAUAUUGGACAAUGGGUGAAAGCCUGAUCCAGCCAUCCCGCGUGCAGGAAGACGGCCCUAUGGGUUGUAAACUGCUUUUAUCUGGGGAUAAACCUACUUACGUGUAAGUAGCUGAAGGUACCAGAAGAAUAAGCACCGGCUAACUCCGUGCCAGCAGCCGCGGUAAUACGGAGGGUGCAAGCGUUAUCCGGAUUUAUUGGGUUUAAAGGGUCCGUAGGCGGACUGAUAAGUCAGUGGUGAAAUCCGACAGCUUAACUGUCGAACUGCCAUUGAUACUGUUAGUCUUGAGUAAGGUUGAAGUGGCUGGAAUAAGUAGUGUAGCGGUGAAAUGCAUAGAUAUUACUUAGAACACCAAUUGCGAAGGCAGGUCACUAAGUCUUAACUGACGCUGAUGGACGAAAGC
rnacentral:rRNA from 1 species